CCGUGAAAAAAUUGGAGUGUUCAAAGCGGGCAGAUAUUUUCCAGCCACCGAAUACAUUAGCAUGGGAUAAUGGAAUAGGACCCUGACCUCCUAUUUUCAGUUGGUUUUGUUUACAGCGAGGUUAUAUCAGGGUAAUGAUUAAUAGGGAUAGUUGGGGGCAUUAAUAUUUAAUUGUCAGAGGUGAAAUUCUUGGAUUUAUGAAAGAUUAACUUCUGCGAAAGCGUUUGCCAAGGAUGUUUUCAUUAAUCAAGAACGAAAGUUAGGGGAUCGAAGACGAUCAGAUACCGUCGUAGUCUUAACCAUAAACGAUGCCGACCAGCGAUUAGGAGACGUUGAAUACAAAACACCGCUGCUAAUCCCUUACGGGGGUUAAUAGUUGGUGAAUGACUCCCUAGCAGCUUGUGAGAAG
rnacentral:rRNA from 1 species